rnacentral:rRNA from 1 species
CCUACGGGUGGCAGCAGUGAGGAAUAUUGGUCAAUGGCCGAGAGGCUGAACCAGCCAAGUCGCGUGAGGGAAGACGGCCCUACGGGUUGUAAACCUCUUUUGUCGGGGAGCAAAGCGAACCACGUGUGGUUCAUUGAGAGUACCCGAAGAAAAAGCAUCGGCUAACUCCGUGCCAGCAGCCGCGGUAAUACGGAGGAUGCGAGCGUUAUCCGGAUUUAUUGGGUUUAAAGGGUGCGCAGGCGGAGGUGCAAGUCAGCGGUCAAAUUGCGGGGCGCAACCCCGUACUGCCGUUGACACUGCAUCCCUUGAGUUGGCUAGAAGUAUGCGGAAUGCGUGGGGUAGCGGUGAAAUGCAUAGAGAUCACGCAGAACUCCGAUUGCGAAGGCAGCAUACCGGCGCGCAACUGACGCUCAUGCACGAAAGCGUGGGUAUCGAACAGGAUUAGAUACCCUGGUAGUC